rnacentral:rRNA from 1 species
CCUACGGGAGGCAGCAGUGAGGAAUAUUGGUCAAUGGACGAGAGUCUGAACCAGCCAAGUAGCGUGAAGGAUGACUGCCCUAUGGGUUGUAAACUUCUUUUAUAUGGGAAUAAAAUGUUCCACGUGUGGGAUUUUGUAUGUACCAUAUGAAUAAGGAUCGGCUAACUCCGUGCCAGCAGCCGCGGUAAUACGGAGGAUCCGAGCGUUAUCCGGAUUUAUUGGGUUUAAAGGGAGCGUAGGUGGAUUGUUAAGUCAGUUGUGAAAGUUUGCGGCUCAACCGUAAAAUUGCAGUUGAAACUGGCAGUCGUGAGUACAGUAGAGGUGGGCGGAAUUCGUGGUGUAGCGGUGAAAUGCUUAGAUAGCACGAAGAACUCCGAUUGCGAAGGCAGCUCACUGGUCUGCAACUGACACUGAGGCUCGAAAGUGUGGGUAUCAAACAGGAUUAGAUACCCCUGUAGUC